rnacentral:lncRNA from 1 species
CUGGGUCAAGUUCAUUAUAGAUAGAGAUAAUUGUAAGCAGCAAGAAUGUUCAGUAAAGUAAGAUCUACAAACACAUCACCAUCACCAAACCACAAUUUUGUCUUGAAUCCAUCUGUGUCCUUUGUUUAGUAUUCACAUAGACCAAGGUGAGCGACACAGGCUCUUUAGAGCCUCUAGUUUUAAUUUAUUUUAAAUUUAUUUU